rnacentral:rRNA from 1 species
AUUGAACGCUGGCGGCAGGCCUAACACAUGCAAGUCGAGCGAGCGGCGGACGGGUGAGUAAUGUAUGGGGACUGCCCGCUAGAGGGGGGUAACUACUGGAAACGGUAGCUAAUUCCGCAUACUAUUUGACGACCCAUAUGCGAUUAGCUUGUAGGCGAGGUAAUGGCUUACCUAGGCGACGAUCCCUAGCUGGUCUGAGAGGAUGAUCAGCCACACUGGGACUGGGACACGGCCCAGACUCCUACGGGGGCAGAAGUGGGGAAUAUUGCACAAUGGGCGCAAGCCUAAUGCAGCCAUGCCGCGUGUAGGAAGAAGGCCCUAGGGUUGUAAAGUACUUUCAGUCGGGAGGCGUUACCGACAGAGGAAGCACCGGCUAACUCCGUGCCAGCAGCCGCGGUAAUUC